AACGAACGCUGGCGGCAUGCCUAACACAUGCAAGUCGAACGAAGUCUUCGGACUUAGUGGCGCACGGGUGCGUAACGCGUGGGAAUCUGCCCUUGGGUUCGGAAUAACAGUGAGAAAUUACUGCUAAUACCGGAUGAUGACUUCGGUCCAAAGAUUUAUCGCCCAAGGAUGAGCCCGCGUAAGAUUAGCUAGUUGGUGAGGUAAAGGCUCACCAAGGCGACGAUCUUUAGCUGGUCUGAGAGGAUGACCAGCCACACUGGAACUGAGACACGGUCCAGACUCCUACGGGAGGCAGCAGUGGGGAAUUUUGGACAAUGGACGCAAGUCUGAUCCAGCCAUUCCGCGUGCAGGAUGAAGGCCCUCGGGUUGUAAACUGCUUUUGUACGGAACGAAAAGGUUUCUAUUAAUACUAGGAGCUCAUGACGGUACCGUAAGAAUAAGCACUGGCUAACUACGUGCCAGCAGCCGCGGUAAUGUGACUACUG
rnacentral:rRNA from 1 species